rnacentral:rRNA from 1 species
UGAGGAAUAUUGGUCAAUGGUCGGGGAGACUGAACCAGCCAAGCCGCGUGAGGGAGGAAGGUACAGAGUAUCGUAAACCUCUUUUGUCAGGGAACAAAGGCGGGGACGUGUCCCCGGAUGAGUGUACCUGAAGAAAAGCAUCGGCUAACUCCGUGCC